CAGGCACCCACUGCUUGGCUGCACGUCUGGGUCAUCUCAGAUAAGCUAAUCUAUCUCUUCUUUAAAAUAAGAUCAUGUGCUUCUCUGAUCCGGUUGUAGUAAGUUGUACAAGGCCUUAGCUGGUUGUCAGGAGGAACCUUCACCUCAUGGCUAAAACUUGGAUAAAACUGUGGGCAUACAAAAUACAUCUUUGUUUUUGUUGCCUUAUAAACAUGGCUGUGAAAGAACCGAAUAUUGGAAAACAACUGUAUAUCAAUUCUCACUUACUCUGGUAUUUCUGAAAGUGAAAGGGGUGAAGGAUAGUGUAGUGAGCAGAGAACACACAGGUUAUGUUGAAAAUUUUGGUCGAUGUUACAGUCCAUUAGCUGGCAGAAAUAUAGCACAACUAGCAUGCCUAGAUGCACACAACAUUGAUGGUAAGAUAUGCUUGACAACUAACUAACAAAAUCAGAUUAUUCAUUUCAUAAAUGUAGAAAAAAAAUAAGUAUGGUCUUCACAACGUGUGUUCUUCUAUGAUUCGGUAACUUGCAUUCCAAUCUUAUUUGUCUUCUUCUCAUUGGGCAUGGUGUCUUUAGGUUAUCAAAGGGGAUUGUGUAUGGCUGUUGACAAUCCAGAUUGUGGGCAGCUAAGAGAUUGGAUAGAGCAUCCUGCAAGGUCUGUGAGGUGCAGAUGAUAUUUCAGUGCUCAGUGUGCAGCUUAUUUUGUAGACAUCGCGGUUUCAGUUUGCAAUAUUAGACCUACUUGUAUCAAGGUAGGGUUGACCAUAACUGAACUUUGAAUUUGUUUAUACAGUAUACAUUAUGCGCUUCAUCCA